CUGACAUCCCUGGCCCCCGCCCCUGUGGAAAGAGAAGUACCCCUGCGUCGUCGUCUCGCGUGUUCUUCUCCCCCCCUCUCUCUCCCGGAUUCGUAUCCCUCCCCGCUGCCUGGUUCGAUCCAAUUUGUUCUUCCCCCCCGCGCAAUUUGCUGCGCCGACGGCGACGGGCCACGGCGCGCAUGCCCUGCCGGCACAGGCACCGGAGCGGCGCUAAUUGAUUCCCUCUCAUGUUGGCAUAGGUUGCCAGAAAACUUCAGCAGGGGAAAAAAUGGUUCAGCUCUUUCUGCAAGUGCCGGCAGACGACGGCAGUGUCGAUACAGAUGCUGUGAGAGCGAGGAGGUCUCUGCUGGACAAGGCUGAGUCGGUGAUCAAGUCGGUUGUAAGGUCCGGAGGCCGGUACGAGGCUCGGAUGUGGCUGUGCAGUACCGUCUCGUCGAUUCAUCUGCUCGAUCCGCGUGACCAGCGGGACCUGUUCCUCGAUCUCCUGGAGAUGAAGGACUUGAGGCGGGAUGUCGCUGCACGCCUGCUGCGGAUGAUUUUCGACAAGAAGCCUGCGAAGGCUGGCUCCGUUUUAGCGAAGAAGUGUCAUAUGCUGGAGAAAUUUUUUGAAGGAAACCCUGAGCGGAUACUGCAAUGGUUUAGCCACUUUGCUGCUACUGGGGAGUCAGCACACAAAAAGGGUGCUCGGGCACUUGCUCAGUUUGCAUUUGUUAAUCGUGAUGUUUGCUGGGAGGAGCUUGAGUGGAAAGGCAGGCAUGGUCAGUCUCCUGCUGUUGUUGCUACUAAGCCUCACUACUUUCGUGAUCUUGAUGUUCUCCAGACAGUGGAAAAUUUCCUUGAAUAUGUCCCAGACUUCUGGUCUUCAGAAGAGCUUGCUGAUUCUGUCAAAGAUGGUGAAAUACUGCAAAUUGAUACAGAAUAUUUUGUAGAUCAAUUUGUCUAUUUGAUGUAUGAGGGGAAUUUCAAAGAUGUCUGGCAAGUAGUUGAAGAUUUUCUGAUGGAGGAGCAGUUUUCCACCCUGUCUCAGUAUGUUCUUAUUCAUCUAGACGAACAAAGGCUUCUUCGUUUCUUAAAAACAUUAGGGAAGCUCAUCAGUCCGAAUGCACAGUGCACAAAGUUAGCAUUCCCAUGCUGCUGGCUUGAGGUUCUUUUGUCGGCACAUAUUGAUCAGAUAUCUCUUGAUGAACUUAUCCUAUUGAACUGUGUCAUUGCCAAGGGUAGACAACUUUGGCAUCUCAUGAAUGACGAAGAACACGAGGAAGAACGAGGGAGGAUGAACGAGCUUGUGAGGACCAUGAAUGACUUGACUGAUGCUAAUCAUUUUGCUCUCAUAAAGGAUUUCAUGGGUACAAAGUUUCCUGAUGCACUCAAGUGGAUAGGCAUCCAGUCCUGGGUAAUUUUAUGUGGUUUGUCAAAAUUAUGCAAAUCAGCUGUUUCUUGUGAAUCUCUGUUCACUGGUAACAGCAUAGAAUUUCGCAAGGCUUAUGAUUAUUCAUUGGUUCAGAACGAUGGGCACUCAGUUUCACAUACUUCAGAUACUGAUGAGAAGGAUCUGACUAGAAGUAGUCAUAAAAAAAGAAAGAGAGAUAAGAAGAGAAGACGACAUAGAUAUGAUUCCGACGAGGAUAAUGUUGAUCAGCUGCUUGAACUGGGAGCUUUCACUGGGAAGAGGGCUAUUGAAUCACAAUGUGGAAGCUGGUACCUGUCAACUGAUGACUUCUCUGCUCCUUGGGACAUUGCCGACAUACCGGAUCACCUUUCUACUUGUUAUCUUAGAGUGUGGCUGAAAUGGGCUUGCUUUAGAUGAUCCUCCUCCUUGUGGCACAUGUGUGGCAAUCAUACUAGCUUCUCUGGUGAAGUGGAGCUGUUUAUACAUGCAUUUUCCCAAAUGGCAUAUGCAAUCUUCAGACCAUGCAUCCUGAUGAUUCAUGCAUUUUGGAUGUGUUAACUGCAUGAGUUCGCACGAUACCCUAGACCAGAAUGUCUCCUGGGGUUCAUCCGAGUAGGUUGGUGCCAAUGGAAAUUCCGGCUACAUGGACAUGGAAAAUAGCUGUAGUAUUGCCCUGAAACAAGUUUGAAUGCCGUUUUUGAUAUUAUUACAGAUCUUAGUGUUGACCACGGGGUAGUACAAACUAAUCUGCAGUCGUAAGUAUGACCCGGCGAUACAUCACAGUUUGUAACUGCUCUUGGUUUUUCUGAUUAAACGUAUUCUAGAUGCGCAUCACCAGCACCAGCUAAGAAUUUUGUACUACAUAUGCAUCUGUGUUUCUGUACUGGCUGCAGUUCCUGGGUGCAAAGUCUCCAAAAAAAUUUCCUUCACAUUGGAACAUAUAUAUAGCAGUGAAUGCGAUGACGAGACAUCACUAUUUGGCA